rnacentral:rRNA from 1 species
UACGUAGGGUGCAAGCGUUAAUCGGAAUUACUGGGCGUAAAGCGUGCGCAGGCGGUUUUGCAAGUCAGAUGUGAAAUCCCCGGGCUCAACCUGGGAAUUGCAUUCGAUACUGGAUAGCUAGAGUUCGGCAGAGGGAAGCGGAAUUUCGGGUGUAGCGGUGAAAUGCGUAGAUAUCCGAAGGAACAUCAGUGGCGAAAGCGGCUUCCUGGACCAGAACUGACGAUCAGGCUCGAAAGCGUGGGGAGCAAACAGG